UUUCCAGUUUCUAGAGGACCACAAGCUGUCAUAAACCCGUAUCCAUAAACCAGCUGUCCCAAGAUCAUGCUAAAAUUCCCGGCACUCAAGUUCAGUCAAUUUGCAUUUGACACGUGCCUCGUUGUAACCGUACGCACUGAGCUAUGUAAUGAGAGGCGGCUGUAUGAACGGCUGAUUGUCUCCUAGAGUUGAUGCAUUCUGCUGGGAGGGCAGAAGGUGAAGAUCCCAGUGCUGUUACACCUGAGGCAGCUGGUUAAACCCCUUCAGCUGUGGAAGUUACGACACCGCCUCCUCUGACAGGAGCAAACUCCUGAUUGAGCUGCGCUUUUGUGCGCCGUCAUUAUCGUUAAGUAAGCUGCUGUCUCCCUGCCUAAUGAAGACUGAGAUCAUUCAAGCAGGACAUUAUGAAUAAGACAGGUCUGUUGAUAUAAAGAAAUAUACUGAGCAGAUACAGUCCUGAGACCCUGGCCCUGUUUUGUUUACACCUGUUCCUGGUUUUUAACACAGCAUGACAGGCAUCCCGCCAGGAAAUUAGCUAAAGAUAAACACCUCAGCAAGCAGAUGCCUGCUGGGGGAAAAAGUGUGGAAGGUGGAAAACAGUAUAAGAUUUUCGAGUCAUUUCAGCAGCUAUGAGAUUUACAUCCCCAAAAAGAUCCAGGUGUUUCUUCAACUAUGGCCACGUUUGGCCAUGUAGAAAAUAAAACUCAUAAAAUGCUGUUUGCACUCCCUCACCAGUAUAAUUUAUGUGGACAGACAUGCAUCAUGGGGGAUUUAUCUUUUUUUUUUUUUUUUUUUUACAAUAGUCACCAGAAUUUAAUUUCUACCACAUCUUUAAUGGCACUCUGUAAUUAAAAUAACAGUGGAUAUUACUUUAUAAAUAAAUAAUUACUUAUGAUAAAUCAAAUGGAUGUCUCUUUAUCAAUUAGCUGUCACACCUCAAGGACCUGUUUUGUUGUGUUUCCUACCCCAUGUGCUCUGUGUGACCUAAUUUUGCCUCAUGUCUGAUUAUUGUCAUUUUGGCUCAGGUGUGUGUCAUUAAUUACCCUCAUCAACCCUCCUAAGUUGUGUUCAGUUCACUGUUUGUCAUUCAGUCUACUAUGUCCAUACUUUGUGCUACGUGUGUGUUCCUGCCUGUAUGUAUUGGAAUUACCCUCUUGUGGAUUAAUUAAAGACUAUUUGCCGGGGCUUGAGCCCCUGUCCCUUAAUUGCCGAUGCUAAAGUGCCCUUUCAGUCCGGUCCAUGUGUCCCCGACCACGAUUUCUACCGAGGGGGAUUAACCACCAACCGCAACGUUCCUUAGGAGCUCUGUGAGCUCUGUGAAUGCCACUAAAUGUAAUUCAUAUUUUUAUGAUGCAUAUAUUAUAAUUUGAAGUUUCAAAUUCUUGUCUGGGGUAUGAGAAAAGUUUCCAAGAUAAUGACCUUAAAGGGUUACUCCACCCAAAAAUGAAAAUGUUGUCGUUAAUUACUUUUAAUUACCCCCAUGUUCUUCCAA